rnacentral:rRNA from 1 species
UACGUAGGGAGCGAGCGUUGUCCGGAUUCAUUGGGCGUAAAGAGCUCGUAGGCGGCUUGGCAAGUCGGGUGUGAAAACUCCAGGCUCAACCUGGAGACGCCACCCGAUACUGCCAUGGCUAGAGUCCGGUAGGGGACCACGGAAUUCCUGGUGUAGCGGUGAAAUGCGCAGAUAUCAGGAGGAACACCGGUGGCGAAGGCGGUGGUCUGGGCCGGAACUGACGCUGAGGAGCGAAAGCGUGGGGGAGCGAACAGG